rnacentral:rRNA from 1 species
ACGCGUGGAUAACCUACCUAUAAGACUGGGAUAACUUCGGGAAACCGGAGCUAAUACCGGAUAAUAUAUUGAACCGCAUGGUUCAAUAGUGAAAGACGGUUUUGCUGUCACUUAUAGAUGGAUCCGCGCCGCAUUAGCUAGUUGGUAAGGUAACGGCUUACCAGGCAACGAUGCGUAGCCGACCUGAGAGGGUGAUCGGCCACACUGGAACUGAGACACGGUCCAG